CUAGAUAUUCCGCCUUAAAAGUAGAUGGCAAAGACUUCAAUGGACAAUCAUCCCAGUCUAGCAAUCUGAGUUUAAGGGGCAAAUAAACGAGGCUCUGAGGUAGAUCCCCGUAAUAACCAAUUUCUAGAUAUUGCAGAUUACGCAUGCCUUUGAACGAUUCUUUAUCUAUUAAUAACGGCCUUGUCGAAAAAUAUUCCUCGAAUGGCAAACGUAUUCCAAGAAGAGUUUCUGUCCCCUGAAAAAAAAUCCGAAGAAAACUAAUAUAAUCUUAACAAUCGCAACCCUUUUUAAUUUUCUGACACAUCAAAGCUACAUUUUAAUUACGCAUGAGGCAACAAUUGCUUAAGUUUAUCAAUCCCCAAAUUACGAUUAUAUUAAUAUAAAGUCAUGCAUUCAAACGGAGCUGCGAAAAAAACUUACAGUUUUCUCGGUCACUACUUCAUGAAUAUCUUCAAAAUUCGUCAGAAAUCGACGUUUUCCAGGAUUACCCUUGGACUUUGCACGAUCAAUUUCUCUACCCAAUUUCUCUAGCAAAUUGUGCAUCUCUAUAUAUCCAUCCGGUGUAAUACGUAUGAGGGACUUCUCAGUCAACAUUGUAAACCCAACAUUAUCUUUAAGUAAAUCUUUGACGUAACUGACUUCAAAACCAUUGAAUAAACACGCGAUGUAAAGGAACAUAUCUUGAUCUUUUUGAUGUAAUCUAUCGUAGCUGACUCUUAAUGUUUUCAUAAUAUCUCCGUUCAAACCAUUUCGGAGCCUAGGCAUCAUCUCCAUCCACCAUUCUUUGGUCCUUCCCUUUAAAGACGAACCAAGGACACUAAGACCCAACGGAAGAUUACCGGCAAGCUUCGCAACUUCAAAUGCUAGUUCCUUAAAAUCAUCAGGUGGAGAGUCUUUCCCAAAAGCAGAUCGGCAUAACAUCGUAAGAGCAAGAUGUUCAGAUGGGAACUCCACCUCAUAUAUAAGGUCAAUCUCAUGAGCCUUGAGAAGUUGCCUAUCUUGAGUGAUCACAAUUAUUCUGCUUCCAGAUCCAAACCAUUCAGCUUUUCCCACCAAGGUCUUAAGAAACUCUAGACUAUCCACAUCAUCAAGAAGGAUAAGAACUUUCUGUUGCUUUAACCUUUGCUCCACCACACCAAAAUGCUCUAUCUUUAUGUCCUUUUGACCUAAGAUUUCCGAGAGAAGUUCUUUUUCCCACCUCAACUUCAUGCCAGAGACGUCACUACCGCUGGUGCUUUUAUAUGUUAUGAAAGCGCGAUGGUGGAACUGGAUAGAGAGUUUACUGUAAAGAGCUCUUCCUAUGGUACUCUUACCAAUCCCUGAUUGUCCCCAAAUCCCGACCAUUAUUCUAGCUUCCUUGGAUUCCAAGCACAAUACUGAUUUUAUUGCCUCUAUAUGAUUUUCAAUUCCGACUAAGUCGCCAAAAUCAUCCGAUGGUGUCAUAGUUUUUCUCAAAACAUCCUCGGCAAGCUCUUCAAUCAUGGCUGCUUCACUAGGCCUAAUAACAAUAGUCAACUGUUUCAUUAAAGAAGCAACGCAAAACAAAAAAAUCACGAAGUCUAUUCAUUGAAAUACCAUUUCCGAAGAUCAUAUCCGGCCAUAACUGCAACAGCUGCUAGAGCUUGCUUCCAACUUUGUUUCUCAUCCUCUGAUUUAGCCUUGCAUGUCUCUUCAAAGACCUUUCCAAAUUCGCCGGUCUGUUUUUUAACUUCCGAAGCAUCAACGUGGAAGAAAAUCGGAAUCACCAUUUGAUUCAAAUUCGUAUAACACUUGUGAAUCUCCACCAAUUCAUUCAGGCACCAGGUGGAUGAAGCAUAGUUCUUAGAGAAGAUAACGAUUGCUAUUCUCGAUUCUUUUAUUGCCGAUAAAAGCUCCGGGCCGAUUGAGCGGCUCCUCUCGAUCUCAUCAUCUAUGAAUGUGAUUGCUUUGCCCCUGAGCUCCUUGAGAAGAUGGCUGAGGAAUGAGUCACGGACAUCUUCUCCACGAAAGCUUGGGAAAACGUCGUAUCUCCGGCUGCCAGAAGAAGAAGCUAUCUCCAUAUCAUCAUCUUUGGAUGUAUCCAUCAUUUCACGGUCGAGCUCGAGCUCCUUGACAAGAUGGCCACGAAACAAUUUGCCGAAAUUUUCUCCACUGAAGCUCGCGAAAACAUUGUAUAUCCAUCUGAGAACAUUGUAUAUCUAUCUGAAGCAAGAAGACGCCAUGGCAGAGGAUGAGAGAGAAGAGACGAAAUUUCUCAAAGGAAAACUCUUUGAAGUAUAUCAAUAAUACAACACAGUAACAGAGAGGAGAAACUUGGUCUUCCUUUCCUCGAAGACUUGUAUAGAAGACUUACUAUACAAGAUAUUGUUUUAGUGGUUAAAAUCAAAUCCCAUUACAAGACAAUUGGGACAAAUAAUACGUAAACUUGGUCUUCCUUUCUUAGAAGACUUGCAUAGAAGACUUACUGUACAAGAUAUUUUUUUAGUGGUUGAAAAAUCAAAUCCCUAACAAGAUAAGGCCAUAAUUAUGUGAUACAGAAACUUCCCCUUCCUUUCCUUGGAAAGCUUCUACUCUAUAACGAUAAGUCAAUUUUGUGGCUAUCAGUCGUCACUGAAUUUAUCUAUGAUGAUGAGACGUAGCCAUUCUACAAGAUUUCAAGAUAAUUUCUAGGCAAAAUAGACAGAAACUUCCUCGAGAGCUACUUUUCCUCUCCACAGAUAUUUUUGAAGACCCAAAAUUUUGUGGCUGUCAGUGGUUCAAGACAGAAACAAGAUUUCAAUUUAUUUUAACAAUGUUAAGGUUCACUAAUAUCAAAAGUCUGGUUUUCCUAUUCAUACUGUACAUACAUGCAUGGAAAUUAGGAGAAUAAUUAGUAUAUCGAUUAUGAGGAUUAUAAUUCAACUAAUAAUACAGUGAAAACACUAACAACAAACUAUCUAGUUUUCUAGAGCUGUGUGGUGUGGACAGUGGAGAGAAUAUUUUCAUGUAAAGUUUUCUUGUUUACAUUUACAAUUGUAAUAUUAGUUUAGAGUUUUGGCUUACUGUGUCAGCAACCACUGUAGGCUGCGAUUGCAUUUGCUGCCGUUUAAGGAGCAUUUGGUUUCUAAGGGUAGGUUUCAUGUACUGGAUGGAAGAAGUCGUGCUUGAGAGCAUCCUCUGCACUGAUUCGCCGUCUCGGGUUAACGGUCAAACAUCUAUCAACGAGGUCAAGGAGCGACCAUGGAAUUGCAUCUAGAAACUCCAUGCGUUUUGGGUUGAGUUCGUACCAUUUUCUCAACUCCAUCCCUUUCAAGUACCUUGACUUGUACAAUUCCUGAAACAACAACACAAAAAUCAACCUGAACUCAUCUCUCACGAUCAUCUAUCUAAUAAUUUUGUCGGUAAUUUACAUUUUUAAGAUAUAUAAUGUUUUGGAACACAAAAUGCUAACAAUGAAAACCCUUUUGUGAUAUUUGAAUCCAAAUGCUGGCGGCAAAGAAGAACAGAACAUGUAUGUUAUGUUCACACCAAUGCAGUAAUCAAAUGAAUGGAGAGUUUACAAGGGAUGAAAGAUGAGAUUUUACCUCAUGUAAAGAGGAUUCACGGUUGUGCAGCUUGGCUACUUCCCAUAAUUCUUCACUGCCUCGUAGUUGCGCAAUGUCCUUUAUGUUCCUGGGAAUGACAAGGUCGUUGUAAGACGGCAAGAAAGAAGAAAAAAGUGGAACCGAGUGAUGGUGUAUUCAGUCAAGUCAGAUCUUAACUGUUCAGGGUCACCAGUGAGAGCUUUCCUUCCCAUUAUGAGGUAUAACAAAGUAACUCCCGCAGAACACACGUCUUUUUUUAGGUCCUUGGUCCAAAGACCAUUCAGCCGAGAACAGCCCUAGAGAAUUAGCUUUUCCAUCCCAUCCUAGAUGUGUUAAUGAGUAGCUCAGGGAACAAGAUAUUUUCAUAUGGAUUUAACUAGUAUCAAGGGAAGUGAUAUAUCUGCAGGAAAAAUGGCUUGUGUCAAAACAUAUGAAAUCGUCUUGCCAUUAUCAUUAUAGUCAUGCUCGGUCCCAAGUUAUCCUAAAACAGAGGAAAACCGAAUAAUAAGAUGCUUCAGUUACCAGAACCAGAAUUCAAGAUAGGAAUUUCUUCAUCUUGUUGUUCACUUAUCAUGGAAUCAACACACAAAGAUUCCCCCUCCAGAGAUGGAUAAGAAGAAACUGAUGAUGCUUCUCCCUGCCCUAACGAAAGCUCCAUAUUUAGAGCGGUCAAGCUUGUGUCCGCUACAAUUUGGACACAGGGUAAGUUGAUAUAUUCUUCAGAUGUUCCCGAUGUCAUCUGCAUCGUAAACCAAAGGAUCGAUUCUGUUAAAUAGUCUGUCACUAAGGUAUUGAUCCUGGAAAAUAUAAUAAAACAUCAAGAGAUAGCUUUGCAAUUUUCAGUUCUAAUUAUGUCAAAAGGCUUACCCGCAUCCGCUUAUUGCUUCUCGCAGUCUCUACAACAUCACAUUUUUCUCGAGACUGUUGGCUGUACUCUGUUUCAGAGCUUCCAUCACUAUCAUCUGGAAAUGGAGACACAUUCAAGAGUCGUAUACCACAUUCUUUUAUCCUCUUGGAGCAAGAAAAGUUAAACUCCACAUCGUUGAAAGUCAAUUUAGAUGGAAGAUCUUCAGGCUGGAAGUUGAAGGAACAGAAAACCAGAUGAUCCGUCUUACACAACCGCAGGUCUGCAUCUUUAAAAAAUGAUUUGCAAUACAGUGUCCCAUUGAAGCCAGCAUUUACCUCACAAUAUGGACCCCAACUCUUGCCCUCAGUUAGAAGGUCAACCACGAUGCAAGCCUUAAAGCAAGAAUACUUGAGAAAGAGAGCUCUAAGGUAAAGUGACAGUUAGGGAAUCUCCAUAAGCUCGAUGUUGAAAAUACGUUGGCACUUCUCCACCUGGUAAGGACAUAGGCUUGAACAAUGACCGUAAGAUGAGUUCUCGCGCAUCUCCAUCCAAUUUGCAGCAGUUCUGGAAGAGAUAAUGAAAGGCCCCGAUCCGGACUACCUAAGUCCGGACGAGAUCUCUCGACCCAAGUCACUAAGUGACUCGACCCAAGUCACUAAGUGACUCGACCCUAACCAUUUAUGAGGUUCAUUCCCUAGUGUAAUCCGUUUCAUACAAUUCUGUGAUUCAAUAUAUGAGACGAAUAGAGUAAACAAACAAUCGGAUACUUUAUUAAUUAAGUAAAGGAUUCGAUACAACUUAUGAGUUUGCAUAUAAGCUAUUACAAGUAAUUUAAUCGAUCCCUAGACUAUCCGAAACUAUCACCACCCAUCAUUCCGGCCUUGAGUCUCUCGCGCCUAAGCCAAGUCCUUCCCACUAUCACCAUUGGUUCCUGAAAGUCAUAGAGCCAUAAGUAAUUUCAUUUACUUAGUCAUAUGCAAGUCCAUGCAAUGCUCCAUAGUCCUUACACUACUCGGAUCCGCGGAGAGGAUUCGGAGAAGGGAAGAUCGCGCAUAAGUCCGGCCGAUUCUCGGUAGGUCAAUUAAGACCCGCCGGUCCUCCGCCGAGCCGCGUCUCCGCCCCAGCCGAUCCCUUGCCCGGACCGAGGCUUGUGUAGGUUGCACAUGACCCGAUUCUACCCAGCCCAUUAGUCGUUCCUUUCAAGGAAUCCCGACUCAUUUAACGCAUUCUAGAAUCCUUAGACUCGAGGUCUAGGAUUCCUUACCUUCCUUCACGAUGUUCGGUCGAUCCGACCCUUCUUCUUCCUUGCCGGCCACAGUCCGCCUACCGAUUUCCUCCGAUGAUUUAUUCUCCCGAAAGGGAGAGAGUUUAAUGGUGAGUUUCCGGUAUUUUCCGUGUGUUCUGCUGCCUCUAAAGGUCUUGGGCGCCCUCCCUUAUAUAAGGAGCGAAUUGAUGCUUCCCGAAGGAUCACCUCCGUUCCUUGCACCUUUCCGAAGAGUUGCAUCUCUCGGUCCGUAACUGCUCGCCCUUAUCCACCCUUUGGGCGAGCACCCGUUCGACCGUAACCGCCCAAGUAACCGUCCGGGUAACCGCCCAGCUGGUCAGACAGUCGACCAGCUGCCUCGAGCUCAACCGUCACUCGCCCAGCUGCUCGAGCUGGACUGUCACUCAACCCGAGUAACCGUCACUCCUUCCAGCUGAGCUUGAGCUUCGGACGAGCUGACCCAGCUGAUUCCUUUACGAUCCUAGCUUAGCCCGCAUGAUUUCCCUUUGUCCGAGCUUAUGGCCAACUCCUUCCCACUUGUCCGAGACUCCACCUUCUUUUCUCGGACCAAGUCCCAGCCAACGAUCCUAUUGAGGAUCGCGGGCGUUACAAGUCUCCCCUUUGAAUUGGAUUCGACAAAUCGAAUCCAAGUUGAUCUUUACCCAUCUCCUUGAACCACUCCGGAAAAUUGGCCUUCAUCUUAGUCUCGGUUUCCCAAGUGUAUUCUUCACGGCCUCCACAAUUCCACAAGAUUUUUAACAAAUCCAUUGAUUUCCCCCGAGUCCCUUUCUUCAUUUGGUCCAUGAUCCGUACCGGCCAUGCUUCCACCGUCAUGUUCUCCUUUAACCCAGGAGGUACAUCUUCCAUGCUUUCUUCUUGUUCACUUAAGCACUUCCGUAGUUGUGAUACAUGAAAGACAUUGUGAAACGCGUCUAGUUUUGGAGGAAGGUCAAGUUUGUAUGCCACCGCCCCUACUCGUUCGAUCACUUUGUACGGGCCAACGUACCUUGGCCUUAACUUUUUCCUUGAUGUGAAUCGCCCUGCCCCUUUGUAGGUCAUCGCCUUUAAAUACACCAAGUCUCCCACUUGGAAUUCUAAUUCCUUUCGACGCUUGUUGGCGUAACUUUUCUGACGAUCUUGGGCUUCCUUUAACUUGAUUUUUAAGAACUUCAUUUUCUUCGUGGUUUCAUCCACGACCGCAGGUCCGAACAACCGACGUUCGCCCACUGGCGUCCAACACAACGGUGUUCUACCAGCUCGGCCAUACAACGCCUCAUAGGGAGACAUACCAAUACUAGCUUGAAAACUGUUAUUGUACGCAAAUUCUACUAACCUUAGAUAUUUCUCCCAGUUUCCUCCCCAAUCCAAGACGCAUGCCCUCAACAUGUCCUCGAGGGUUUGAAUCGUUCGUUCGGACUGUCCGUCCGUCUGUGGGUGAUAUGCAGUACUUAGAUUCACUCGAGUCCCUAAGACCUUUUGAAAAGGCUUCCAAAAUUUUGACGUGAACCUUGUGUCUCGGUCCGACACUAUACUAACCGGAAUCCCAUGUAAUCGCACGAUCUCGUCUAUGUACUUCUCGGCAAUGAUUUCGGCUGCAUCCUUAUCCGAGAUUGCCAUGAAGUGCGCAGACUUAGUCAAUCGGUCUACUACAACCCAUACCGCAUUGUGUUUGGACUUGAUCCCCGUCGGCAGUCCCGUGACGAAGUCCAUCAUUAUAUGGUCCCACUUCCAUUCCGGUAUAGGUAGGUUUUGUAACAUUCCACUUGGUACUUGAUGCUCUUCCUUGGCUACCCACCUGGCCACAUCUUUCUUCAUUCCUACCCAAUGGUAGUAUCUUUUAAGGUCGCGAUACAUCUUGUUCGACCCAGGAUGGAUCGAGAACUUCGAUUGAUGCGCUUCUUUUAGGAUUUCCUCCUUCAACGCCUUAUCGUUCGGCCCACAUACUCGACCGUUCACCACGAUAGUACCAUUGUUCGAGCUUUGGUACUCGGUUUUAUUGUUUUGUGCCCACCCUUUUAUUUCUUCAUCUCGUUCUUGAGCCGACCGGAUCCUACUAAGUAGGUCGGCUUGAUUGGCGGCUCUCAACCCUAAGGGUUCAACUUCCUUAGACAAAGCAUUCAAAUGCAAUGUCCCCAUCAUGUUAACCAAAUUCACUUGGUUCCUUUCCGCUUCCACUACCGUGCGCAGCCUGCUCAAAGCAUCUACAACUUGGUUGGCCUUGCCCGGAUGGUACGCUAUGUUCAAGUCGUAAUCCGCCACAAGUUUUAUCCACCUUCUUUGCCUUAGAUUUAACUCCGGCUGGGUGAAUAUGUAUUUUAGGCUCUUGUGGUCAGUAAAGAUUUGAACCUUGGCACCAUACAAAUAUGAUCGCCAAAUCUUCAACGCAAAUACUACCGCGGCCAUUUCCAAAUCAUUCGUAGGGUAGUUCUUCUCGUGUUUCCGCAAUUGCCUCGAGGCGUAUGCGAUAACACUCCCCUUUUGGAUCAAUACGCAUCCUAGUCCUACUAUGGAUGCGUCCGUGUAGACCGUAUAGGGCUCACCUUCCUCCGGUAAGACCAACACCGGUGCAUUAGUCAACAUGGCCUUUAACUCCAGGAAGCUUCUCUCGCAUUCCUCCGACCAGUUGAAUGCGGUGUCUUUUCCGGUCAAUUGAGUCAUGGGUUGGGCCAUGCUCGCAAAUCUCUCGACCCAAGUCACUAAGUGAAUGGACCCUAACCAUUUAUGAGGUUCAUUCCCUAGUGUAAUCCGUUUCAUACGAUUCUGUGAUUCAAUAUAUGAGACGAAUAGAGUAAACAAACAAUCAGAUACUUUAUUAAUUAAGUAAAGGAUUCGAUACAACUUAUGAGUUUGCAUAUAAGCUAUUACAAGUAAUAUAAUUGAUCCCUAGACUAUCCGAAACUAUCACCACCCAUCAUCCCGGCCUUGAGUCUCUCGCGCCUAAGCCAAGUCCUUCCCACGAUCACCAUUGGUUCCUGAAAGUCAUAGAGCCAUAAGUAAUCUCAUUUACUUAGUCAUAUGCAAGUCCAUGCAAUGCUCCAUAGUCCUUACACUACUCGGAUCCGCGGAGAGGAUUUGGAGAGGGGAAGAUCGCGCAUAAGUCCAGCCGAUUCUCGGUAGGUCAAUUAAGACCCUCCGGUCCUCCACCGAGCCGCGUCCCCGCCCUAGCCGAUCCCUUGCCCGGACUGAGUCUUGUGUAGGUUGCACAUGACCCGAUUCUACCCAGCCCAUUAGUCGUUCCUUUCAAGGAAUCUCGACUCAAUUAACGUAUUCUAGAAUCCUUAGACUCGAGGUCUAGGUUUCCCUUACCUUCCUUCACGAUGUUCGGUCGAUCCGACCCUUCUUCUUCCUUGCCGGUCACAGUCCGACUACCGAUUUCCUCCGACGAUUUAUUCUCCCGAAAGGACGAGAGUUUAAUAGUGAGUUUCCGGUAUUUUCUGUGUGUUCUGGUGCCUCUAAAGGUCUUGGGCACCCUCCCUUAUAUAAGGGGCGAAUUGAUGCUUCCCGAAGGAUCACCUCCGUUCCUUGCACCUUUCCGAAGAGUUGCAUCUCUCGGUCCGUAACUGCUCGCCCUUAUCCACCCUUUGGGCGAGCACCCGUUCGACCGUAACCGCCCAAGUAACCGUCCGGGUAACCGCCCAGCUGGUCAGACAGUCGACCAGCUGCCUCGAGCUCAACCGUCACUCGCCCAGCUGCUCGAGGUGGACUGUCACUCAACCCGAGUAACCGUCACCCCUUCCAGCUGAGCUUGAGCUUCGGACGAGCUGACCCAGCUGAUUCCUUUACGAUCCUAGCUUAGCCCGCAUGAUUUCCCUUUGUCCGAGCUUAUGGCCAACUCCUUCCCACUUGUCCGAGACUCCACCUUCUUUUCUCAGACCAAGUCCCAGCCAACAAUCCUAUUGAGGAUCGCGGGCGUUACAGAUAACCUGCCCUACAGGCCAAAUGUUUGUGGUUAAGGUUUUCCCAGAAACGAUGACGAGUAUACUCAAUGUUUUCAUAUAAUGGUAUAUAAGAAGAGUGAUCUUCCACACUGGCAUCACUCAUCGCCACGUUGACACCUCUACAUUCUGUAAAGUCGACGAGCUUAAGAAUUGUCAGUCUGAAAAUGUUUGGCGAGAUGUUUUUCAACCUCUUGCAACAAUACAUCAUAAGUACAGUGAGCCACGAGAAAUUUUCAAUGCAGCAGGGAACUUCUUCAAUAGCGGUGUUUUCCAGAUAGAGCCAUUUGAUACUCUUUGAAAUCAGAGGAAAAGUUCUCAAACUUGAGCAACCACUCAGAUCAAGCAUUUUAAGAGAUGACAAGUUGACAUCGGUUGGAAGAACCUCCAGCCCUGUGCAUUCUUUCAUUUCCAACCUCACCAAUUUUUGGAGAUUCCCAAUUGUAGAAGGAACUGUCACCAAACUUUUGCAAUUAGAGAGAUAUAAAUUCACCAGAUUAGUGGCCUUUGAAAGAUCUGGAAUUUCUGUCAGGUUUCCACAUUCUGACAUAUCCAUCUCCACGAGACUUGCAAGCGACUGAAACAGAAAUUAAAAAAAAAAAUUGUUAUGCUUCAAUCACUUUCAUUUUAAUUUAAUAACUAUACACAUUUAAACAAAAUUAUAAUCAAGACAUAAUUCUGUAUGUAAAUAUAAACCGUGGAAUCACAAGCCAUUUUGACAACUUUAAUUUGGUUAUACGUAAUUAUUUACAACAGAGGUUAAACAAAAAUCAGCAAAUGCUAUAAUAUUAACAAUGUACCUGGACGCCUUCCCAUAGCUUCUCAAGCAUUUGGUUGCCUCUCACUAUGAGACGAACCAGAUCAUUUGGGCGAAAUUCACAUGGCAUACAUCUCACAAGGCAGGCGAGAUAAUCAAGACCAGGGAGAUUCUUGUUCCAUAUACAAUUUUCUACGCGGAUCUCAAUUCCAUGUGGCGAAGUAGUUGAAGUUUCCAUUUUAAACACAGGGAAAUUUUUCUCAAAUUAUCGUAAUAAAGGAGACCGAGGUACUCAAGAGAUUCCAAGUUGAGAUGAGUUGGAAAACUCUCUAGCUUUGUGCAACCCCUCAUAUCUAAAUAGAUCAGUUUAAUGGCAUUCUGAAUCGAGGAAGAAAGUGUCACCAAAGAUCUGCAUUCCGAAAGAUUUAAUUCCUCGAGGUUUCUGGCAUUAGAAAGAUCUGAAAUUUCUCUCAAAUAUCUGGAACCAUGCAUAUUCAUCCUCUUGAGGCUUCCAAGUGGCUGAAAACAAAAUAGGGAAAAACAUAAUACACACAUUCAUAAACAUUUCAAAUAGAUUAAUUUUUACCACAGGUCUGUUCUAAAAAUUGACAACUAUUUCAAUGAAGAAUUAAGUACCACAGUUCCUUCCCACAGCUUCUCAAGCUUACUUCCCAUCAUUGUGAGUUGAAUGAGGUAAUCCGCCUUAAAACUAUAAGGCAAACAUUUCAAUGGACACCUAUCCCAGUCUAGCAAUCUGAGUUUAGGGGGCAAAUAAACGAGGCUCUGAGGUAGAUCCAUAUAAUCCCCAGUAACUGAUAGACAUUGGAGAUUACGCAUGCCUUGGAACGAUUUUUCAUCUAUUGGUAAUAGCUCUUUUGAUCGGAAAGCUGUGCAGAAACGUAUUCCAAGAACUGUUUCUGUCCCCUGAAAAAAAUACGAAGUAAACUAGUAUAAUGAUAUAAUCUUUACAAUGGCAACCGUUUUUAUUUUUCUGAGACAUCAAAAGAGCUAGCCACGUUUUAAUUAAGCAGGAGAGGCAACAAUUGUUAAAGUUUAUCAAUCCCCAAAUGACGAUUAAAUUAAUAUAAAGUCAUGCAUUAAAAGGCAUCUGCUAAAAACUUACAGUUUUCUCUGUCAAUACUUCUCAGAGUAUCCUCAAAAUCCGUUAGAAAUCGACGUUUUCCAGGAUUACCCUUGGACUUUGCACGAUCAAUUUCUAUACCCAAUUUCUCUAGCAAAUUGUGCAUCUCUAUAUCUCCAUCCGGUGUAAUACGUAUGAGGGACUUCUCAACCAACAUUGUAACCCCAACAUUAUCUUCAAGUAAAUCGUUGACGUAACUGACUUCAAAACCAUUGAAUAAACACGCGAUGUAAAGGAACAUAUCUUGAUCUUUUUGAUGUAAUCUAUCGUAGCUGACUCUUAAUGUUUUCAUAAUAUCUCCGUUCAAACCAUUUCGGAACCUAGGCAUCAUCUCCAUCCACUCUUCUUUGGUCCUUCGUUUUAAAGACGAACCAAGGACACUGAGACCCAAAGGAAGAUUACCGGCAAGCACUGCAACUUCAAAUGCUAGUGCCUUAAAAUCAUCAGGUGGAGAGUUUUCCCCAAAAGCAGAUCGGCAUAACAUCUUAAGAGCAAGAUCUAGAGAUGGGAACUUCACCUCAUAUAAAAGGUCAAUAUCAUGAGCCUUAAGAAGUUGCAUAUCUUGAGUGAUCACAAUAAUUCUGCUUCCAGGUCCAAACCAUUUAGUUUCCCCCACCAAGGUCUUAAGAAACUCUGGAUCAUCCACAUCAUCAAGAACGAUAAGAACUUUCUUCUGAUUUAACAUUUGCUCCACUACACCUAACUUCCCUCCUAUCUUUAUAUCCUUACCAAGAAUUUUUGACAGAAAUAUUUCUUCCCAUUCAGACUUCAUGCUAUAGACGUGAGGUACGAAAGCGUGAAAGUGGAAUUGGCAAAAGAGUUGACUGUAUAGAGCUUUUCCUAUGGUACUCUUACCAAUCCCUGAAGGCCCCCAAAUCCCAACCAUUCUAGCUUCCUUGGAUUCCAAGCACAAUAUUGAAUUCAUUGCCUCUAAAUGAGCUUCAAUUCCGACGAAAUCGCCAAAAGAAUUCGAUGGUGAAAUAAGCUUAUUCGAAACAUCAUUAGCUAUCUUUACAACCAUGGCUGCUUCACUAGGCCUAAUAACAGUAGUCAAAUUGUGUCAAUAAAGAGGCACCCCUAAAGCACACAAUCCAAAAAAAGAAGAAGCAGAUAGCAUAGUUCAGAGAUAAUUAAAAACACACUCAGAGAUAAUGAAAUCAAAAACAAAGUACCCGUUUCGAAGAUCUUCUCCGGCUAUAUUUGUUAUGUCUACUAGAGCUUGCAUCCAUCUUUGUUUCUGAUCCUCUUCUUUGUCCUCGCAUGUCUUUUUAAAAACAUCGCCAAAUUCGCCGGUCUGUUUUCUAACUUCCGAAGGAUCAACGUCGUAAAAAACUGAAAUCACCAAUUGACCCCAAUCAUUUAAGCGAUUGUGGAUCUCAACCAAUUCAUCCAAGCACCAAGUGGAAGAAGCAUAGUUCUUAGAGAAGAUCACGAUUGAGAUCCUUGCUUCUCUAAUCGCUGAUAUUAGCUCAGGGGCUAUUGUACGGCUUCGUUCGAUGCCAUGAUCCAUGAAUGUAUUGAUUGAUCUGCGGUCGAACGCCUCGAGUAGAUUGCUGAGGAACGUCUUGCGAACAUCUACCCCACUGAAGCUUGGGAAAACAUCGUAUCUCCGGCUGCAAGAAGAAGAAGCCGCCGCCAUGGAAUAUGAUGAGGAGAAGAUAAGUACAGUAAAUCGAAUACACAGUGAUUAUUGAUUAGAGUGAUUACUGUGAGGCCGGUCCUUAAGGGUGGGAUGCGCAAGGAAACUUCUUAUUUUUUGCCCAUAGGCCAUAAAUAUAAAAAUGUAGCGAAAUGUUUGUAAUGAGGUUCGAACCAAGGCCAAUGAAGCAUUUAAAACCUGAUUUCAAGUAUUCAACCGCUCAACUACAAGUUAUGAUGCCUCUUAAAUCAAUAUUAGAUUUAUUUUGGUGUCCAAGGUCUUUGCUUAUUGUAAAAAGGACAGCUUAUCGUAAACAUGUUGAGUGGGGAAUUCAGUCUUUGUUUCCCUAUACUUACAUGCAUAGAAACUAGGAGAAUUUGUAAGUAUAUCAAUUAUGAGGAUUUUAAUUCACAUAAUAAUAUAGUGAAAACAUUAACUAUCUAGUUUGUUAAAAAAAAAACUCUUUUAGCUUUCUAGAGUUGUGUGGUGUGGUGUGGAUGGACAGUGGAGUGAAGAUUUCUAGAAACUCUCUGCGUUUUGUGUUGAGUUCUCCUCAUUUUCUCAACUCCAUCCCCUUCAAGUACCUUGACACGUACAAUUCCUGAAACAACAACACAAAAAUCUAUGUGAAUUCAGCUCUCACGAUCAUCUAUCAAAUCACUUUAUCAGUAAUUUACAUUUUAAAGUUAUAUCAUGUUCUGGACUAACAAUGAAAACCAUUUUAUGUGAUAUUUGAAUCCAUAUGCUGGUGGCAAAGAAGAACAGAGCAUUUGUAUUAUGUCACACAAAUUCAGCAAUCAAGUGAAUGGAGAGUUUAUAAGGGAUGUAAGAUGAGAUUUUACCUCAGGCAAAGAGGUUUCACGAUUGCAGCUUGGCUACUUCCCAUAAGUCUUCACUGCCUCGUAGUUACUCAAUGUCCUUUAUGUUCCUAGGAAUCACAAGGUCGUUGUAAGACGGCAAGAACGAAAAAAGAGUGGAAUCGACUGAUGGUGUAUUAUAUUUUUAUUUAUUAUUAUUAGGUCAUUGGUGCAAAUAUCUGAAGCAAACCUGCACAAACCAAUUCAGCUAAAAUAAGCACCAGAGAAAUUAGCUUUCACAUCCUAAAUGUGACAAUGACUAGCUCACUUGACCUCAGGGUCGUGAUUGAGUUUGGUGGUUGUGGCCGGUGAGUAGGACGGGUGGAAGCUGGUUUUGUAUGUAUGGGGCAGUGGUGGUGCUGAGUUAUGUUGUAAUCACUGUUUUUUACUGUGAGUGUAGGAAACGCCAUGGUAGCAGUGAUGCAUUUAAUGCUGAUGAGGUUGCUAUUUAAAAAUUUAGUUCCAACACUUUUUUGUUGUUGAUAAUUCUCUUGUGAAAUACAUUUUUCUUUACCGAAUUUAUUCAUUGAUUUAAAGAGAGAAAAAUAACCUUUGGUAACAUACACGUAGAGAGAUAUGUGUGUUUCAAAAGACAAGACUGUUAUAUUUACAUCUUUUCAGGAAAGCGAAUUUUUCAAAGAAGCAAAACAGAGAGAAGUAAGAACAGAGUGGUUCUGCUGUUCUGGACAUGGAACCAUAAAAGUUUUCUAGUUGUCAGUGCUCCAUCAUCUGCAGGAGAAAAUGGCUUGUGUGAAAAACUAAGAAAUCGUCUUGUCAUUACCAGUAUAGUCAUGGUCGAUCCCAUGUUCAUUAUAAAACAGAGUUGUAAUACGUUUCAGGUUACCUUAACAAUGUGAUAAGCUGUAGAGACGGCUAAGGAUCCAGGAAAGGAAUCUUAACAAUGUGAUGGUGUGAAUUCAGUCAAGGCAGAUCUUAACUGUUCAGGGUCAGCAGUGAAAGGUGUCGUCCCCAUCAGACCAUACGUUUUAUUUAGGCCCUUGAUGCAAAGAUCUGAAGCAAACCAAUUCAGUCAAGAACAGCCCCAGAGAAUGAGCUUCCCAUCCUAGAUGUUCUAGUGAGUAGUUCAGGCCUACAACUUUCACUCUUCUCGAUAUAAUUAAAGAGUGCAGCGGCAUAGGGGAACAGCAGCGACAUAUUUUCUCAUCGACGUAGGAUAGCUGGAUGAUACUUCAUGGUUUGGAAGUGGACCAGACAAUGUCUCCUGUAGAAAGUUUAAAAGCUCUUUCCUUCACCCGAAGGAUUGUUCCUUAUGCUGGUUACAUCUUUGGCCGAAGUUAGGCCAAAAACGCUUCUGCCUUUUGGCUAUUGAAUCAGCGGAUAUGCAAAUGUUGCUGAUUCUUGUUGUUUUCUGUACCCAAAGUCUGAUUUAUUCAUUGCUAAUAAAGAGAAAAACAACCUUUACUAACAUAAACAUUGAGAUCUAUGUUUUAAAAAGGCAAGACUAUUUUGGGUAGUACCUGCACUCAAGCAGGUACGCUCCCAAAUUCAAUGUCUUUCUUAAAAAUAGAAUAUGUUUUUACAAAACAAAACAAUGCCAAAGAUGUUUUUCCAGAAUAUGCUAAAGUAUGGCUUUCUGAAACAUUUAUUCUUUCAGGAAAAGUGAAAUGUUCAAAACAAACGCAGAGCUGGAUAAUGUAACGGACUUUGGUUCUCCUAAAGAUCUUCAUCAUCUGCAGUUAAUUAUCAUUAUCAUUAUAGUCAUAGUCGAUCCCAAGUUAUCCUAAAACAGAGUAAAACAGAAUGAUAAGAUGCUUCAGUUACCAGAAUCAGUAGACAAGAUAGGAAUUUCUUCAUCUUGUUCUUCAGUUAUCAUGUAAUCAACACACAAAGCUUCCCCCUCUAGAGAUGUUGAUGAUGAUGCUUCUCCCUGCCCUAACGAAAGCUCCAUAUUUAGAGCGGCCAAUCCUGAGUCCGCUACAAUUUGGCCAUAGGGUAAGUUGAUAUAUUCUUCAGAUGUCCCCGAUGUCAUCUGCAUUAUAAAUCAAACGAUCGAUUCUAUUAAAUAGUCUGUCCCUAUGGUGUUUCGAUCCUGAAAAAUCAAACCAAAAGUCAAAAGAUAGCUUUAUAAUUUUCAGCUCUAAUCAAAAGUCAAAAGAUACCCCCAUCCGCUUCUCGCUUCUCGUAGUCUGUUGGUUGUACUCUGUUUCUUGAUAGACAUACAAGAGUCGUACACCGCAUUCUUUGAUCCUAUUGGAGCAACAAAAUUUAAACUCCAUUCAGACCAGAUCUUGAAGGAACAGAAAAACAGAUGAUCCGUCUUACAAAACUGCAGGUCUGCAUCUUCAAAAAAUGAUUUCUGAUACUGUUUGCCAUUGAAGCCAACAUUUACCUUCAAGGAUGGAUAAAAACCCUUGCCCUCGGAGGGAGGUUCAACCACGACGCAAGCCUUAAAUGGAAAGAAGUAUUGAGAAAGAGAGCUCUGAGGUAAAGUGACAGUUAGGGAAUCUCCAUAAGCUCGAUACGUGAAAUACUUAGGGAUUUCUCCACCUGGUAAGGCCACAUGCUUGAAGCAUGAUCGUAGGAUAAGUUCUCGCGCAUCUCUUUCCAAUUUGAAGCAAUUGCAGAAGCUAAAGGAUUCCCUACGUAAGCGCCAAUCUACGACGUAGUUCUUAUAAUCAUCAUCAUACAACGCAUCCCAGAAACGUUCACAUGUAUAUUCAAUGUUUUCAGAUAAUGGUACACAAGAAACGUGAUCUUCCAUUGUCGCUACCACAGUUGCAUCACUCAACGCCUUGAUGACACCUCUACAGUCUGUAAAGUCGGCGAACAUUAGACUUCUCAGUCUGAAAAUGUUUGGGGAGAUGUUUUUCAACCUCUGGCAACAAUACAUCAGUAGUACACGGAGCCUCGUGAAAUCCUCAAUGCAGCAGGGAACUUCUCCAAUGGCGGUGUUUUCCAGAUAGAGCCAUACAAUAUUAGUUGAAAUCAGAGGAAAAGUUCUCAAACUUGAGCAACCACUGAGAUCGAGGAUACCCAGAGAUGACAAGUUGACAUCGGUUGGAAGAACCUCCAGCCCUGUGCAUCUUUUCAUGUACAAACGUCUCAAAUUUUGAAGAUUCCCAAUUGUAGAAGGAAGUGUCACCAAACUUUUGCAGUUGUUGAGUAUCAAAGACUCGAGCUUGGUGGCCUUUGAAAGAUCUAGAAUUUCUUCAAUGGCGGUGUUUUCCAGAUAGAGCCAUUUGAUACUCUUUGAAAUCAGAGGAAAAGUUCUCAAACUUGAGCAACCACUGAGAUCGAGGGUUUCGAGAGAUGACAAGUUGACAUCGGUUGGAAGAACCUCCAGCCCUGUGCAUUCUUUCAUUUCCAACCUCACCAAUUUUUGGAGAUUCCCAAUAGUAGAAGGAAGUGUCACCAAACUUUUGCAGUUGUUGAGAUAUAAAUGCUUCAGAUUGGUGGCCUUUGAAAGAUCUGGAAUUUCUGUCAGGUUUUCAGAUUCUGACAGAUCCAUCUCUUCGAGACUUCCAAGCGACUGAAAAAAACAUUAUCGAUGAUAAUCAUUUUAAUUUUAUACCUAUAUAUGUUUAAAAUUAUAAUUAAACAUUAUUACGUAUGUAUGUAAGACAUAACCGUGGAUCGACCACAAGCCAUAAAAACAAAUUUGGGUAUACUUAAUUAGUUAUAUAACAGAAGGUAAACAAAAAUCAGCAUAGCAUUAACAAUGUACCUGGAUGCCUUCCCAUAGCUUCUCAUGCUUGUAGCACCUCACAUUGAGAAAAACGAGAUAUUCUGGGCGAAAUUCACAAGGCAUACAUCUCAUAAGGCAGUCGAGAUAAUCUAGUCCAGCAGGGAGAUUCUUGUUCCAGAAACAAUCUUCUACCACGAUCUCAUUUCUCCCUUCCGGAAAGUCAACGUCUGAACAUCCCAUUUUGAUUGCUGGGAAAUUUCUCAAAUUCGGGCAUCCAGUGAGAUUGAGGUACUCGAGAGAUUCCAAGUUGAGAUCGGUUGGAAAACUCUCUAGCUUUUUGCAAUCACUAAUAUCUAAAUAGAUAAGUUUAAUGGCAUUCUGCAUCGAGGAAGGAAAUGUCACCAAGGAUUCGCAUUUACAAAUAUCUACUUCCUCGAGGUUUAUGGCUAAAGAAAGAUCUGGAAUCUCUUUCAAAUAUUUGGAACCACGCAGAAACAUCUGCUUGAGUCUUCCAAGUGGCUAAUAACAAAAUAGGGGAAAAGAGAGUACACACGUUAGUGAACAUUUUAAACAGAUUCAUUUUAGUUUUUCUAACAGAUUUAUGUUUAGAAAUUGAUCACUAAUAGAAUUAGUACCUGAGUUCCAUCCCACAGCUUCUCAAGGUCACUAUUCUCCAUUCUGAGUUUAACCAGAUACUCAACCUUAAAAUUAGAAUGCAAACGCUUCAAUGGACAAUUAUUCCACAAUAGCAAUCUGAGUUUACUAGGGAAAUAAACGAUGCCCUGAGUGCCUUCCAUACGUGAGCAAUCAACUGAUAGAUAUUCGAGAUUACACAUGCCUUCUAAUGAUUUUAAAUCUAUUAAUAGCACCCCCGAACAAUAUAACGUCCUCAGUUUAAUGGCAUUCUGAAUCGAGGAAGGAAGUGUCACCAAAGAUUCGCAUUCAGAAAGAUUUAAUUCCUCGAGGUUUAUGGCUAAAGAAAGAUCUGGAAUUUCUUUAAAAUAUUUGGAAUACCACAAAUUCAUCUUCUUGAGACUUCCAAGGGGCUGAAAACAACAUAUGGAAAAAGAGAAUACACACGUUCACAAUUUUUUUAAAACAGAUUCAUUUGAAGCUUUUCUAACAUAUAUAUGUUCAUAAAUAUACCACAGUUCUAUUCUAAAAACUGACAACUAAUAAAAUUUAUAAUUCGUACCAGAGUUCCUUCCCACAGUUUCUCAAGCUUACUAUUCUUCAUUAUGAGUUUAACUAGAUACUCCGCCCUAAAAGUAGAUGGCAAAGACUUCAACGGACAAUAAACCCAUUCUAGCAAUCUGAGUUUAAGGGGCAAAUAAACGAGGCUCUGAGGUAGAUCCCCAUCUGACCAAUAACCAAUUUCUAGAUAUUGGAGAUUACGCAUGCCUUUGAAUAAUUUUUCAUCUAUUAAGAACGACCUUGUCGUAAGAUAUCCCGGGUGUGGCAAACGUAUUCCAAGAAGAAUUUCUGUCCCCUGAAAAAAAAUCCGAAGAAAACUAAUAUAAUCUUAACAAUCGCAACCUUUUUUUAUUUUUCUGACACAUCAAAGCUACGUUUUAAUUACGCAUGAGGCAACAAUUGCUUAAGUUUAUCAAUCCCCAAAUUACGAUUAUACUAGAUAUUGACCCGCGGUGUACCGCGGGUGGAUAUGUUCAUAGAAAAGUUAUACAUAUUUUUUAUACGAAUUAUUAUUUUUAUAUAAAUAAUAUUUUCUUAACACAUAAUUUUUAUUUAUGUAAAUCUUGGAUAAUUCAUGUUUUAUGUUCUCAUAUUUGUUAGUUUAAUAUUAAAAUUCAGUAUUUGUUUUUUUGGUUUGGGUUUUUUAGAGAUAAUAAAGAUCUAAAAUUCAUGUUUGGGGUCGAUAUUUUUAUCAGAAAAUUAAAUAUUUUUAUUUUAAUUAAUAUUAUUUAUAUAUAUAAUAUAUUCAAGAAGUACAUCAAAGGCCUAUAUUUUUAUUAAAUAAAAAAUAAUAUUUUUGUCUUUAAAAUGAUCUAUAGAUAUAUGCUAUUGUUUUUUUAUGUAUGAUACUAUGAUACACCUCUGUAUGAUUUUUAUAACUAAUUUUUUUUAAAAAAAUUAAAAUUUUUUUUAGUGUUUAAAAUUGUAUAAUUGUAUUUUGAUUGUUAAUUUUAGGAUUUCAUCCAUAGUAUAUCAUCCCGUAUCAAUAUCGAUCCAAACUCAUCCCACCAUAUAACCUCGUCCCGUGAAAUUAAAACUUCAUAAAAUUUUAAAAUCAUUAAUAUUUUAAAAAAAUUUAUAGACUUUAACUUUUAAAAAAGUUUAAAAAUUUGUAAUACUUAACUUUUAAUAAAGUUUCAAAAUAUAUAAUAUUUUAAAACUUUAAAACUUUUACUUAUUUAAAAUAAAGAACCAAAGUAAAACGAAAGCUCCUGCUCUUUCGUUUUCAGAAUCACUUUGGUCUUUUUUAUAGUAUAACUCUUAACGAUUUCCUCAUUUUUAAGCAAUGUGAGACCUUUAAAACUUAUUUUUUUUCAUCGAUGGAGUAUUAUAUGUUUGUUUUAAGAAAUUUAAAUUUCAUCAGAUGCAAAAAAAAUCUAAUAUUUUAUUAACUAUAUGUAUUUUAUAUAUAAAGUAAAAAAAAAUAGAUAUAAAAACAAAUAUAGUGACAGAAAAAUUAUAUAUUUAUAUUUAAUGUCGAUAUAUAGAUUUUAGAAAAUUAGCCUUAAUCGAAUAUAGUUCAAUAAAGAAAGAUUUAGUUAAGGAUAAAAAUUUAGGAAAGAGUUAAUUCAACUAAUUAAUGCAAUUAAGCUAAUUGUAAUUUUUUAGUUAUAAAGUAUUUGAUUGAGAUUAAAUUUGUAAGGACUAAUAUUGAAAAUAGUAAAUAGGUGAGGGAUUUUUGGCCAAAAACCCUACCAAAAAUGUAUAUGUAGAUUGACAUAAAGUCAUGCAUUACAACGUUUAAGGAGAUGCGAAAAACUUACAGUUUUCUCGGCCAAUACUUCUUGAAUAUCCUCAAAAUUUGUCAGAAAUUGACGUUUUCCAGGAUUACCCUUGGACUUUGCACGAUCAAUUUCUCUACCCAAUUUCUCUAGCAAAUUGUGCAUCUCUAUAUCUCCAUCCGGUGUAAUACGUAUGAGGGACUUCUCAACCAACAUUGUAAGCCCAACAUCAUCUUCAAGUAAUUCUUUGACGUUACUGACUUUAAAACCAUUGAAGAAACAUGCAAUGCACUUAAAUAACUCUCUAUUUUUUUUAUUUAACCUAUCGUAGCAGACUCUUAGUGUUUCCUCAAUUUUAUCAUCUGAGUCAUUUCGAAGCCUAGGCAUCAUCUUCACCCACUCAUCUUUGUCCCUUCCUUUUAGAGAUGAACCCAAGACACUGAGACCCAAAGGAAGACUACCAGCAAGCUCGGCAACUUCAAAUGCUAGUGCCUUAAAAUCAUCAGGUGGAGAGUCUUUCCCAAAAGCAUAUUGGGAUAUCAUCUGAAGAGCAAGACCUUGAGAUGGCAGCUUCACCUCAUAUACAAGGUCAAUCUCAUGAGCCUUGAGAAGUUGCCUAUCUUGAGUGAUCACAAUUAUUCUGCUUCCAGAUCCAAACCAUUCAGCUUUUCCCACUAAGGUCUUAAGAAACUCUAGAUUAUCCACAUCAUCAAGAAGGAUAAGAACUUUUUUGUGCUUUAAUCUUUGCUCCACCACACCAAAAUGAUCUAUCUUUAUGUCCUUUUGACCUAAGAUUUCCGAGAGAAGUUCUUUUUGCCAACUCAACUUCAUGCCAGAGACGUCACUACCGCUGGUGCUUUUGUAAGUUACGAAAGCGCGAAGGGGGAAUUGGCUAGAGAGUUGACUGAAAAGAGCUCUUCCUAUGGUACUCUUACCAAUCCCUGACUGUCCCCAAAUCCCGACCAUUAUUUUAGCUUCUUUGGAUUCCAAGCACAGUAUUGAUUUUAUUGCCUCUAUAUGAUCUUCAAUUCCGACUAAGUCACCAAAACCCUUUGGCGGAUGAAAAAGUUUAUUCGAAACAUCAUUGGCUAUCUUUUCAACCAUAUGCGCAUCAUUAGGCCUAAUAACAAUAGUCAAAUGUGUCAAUAAAGAGGCACCCUUAAAAGCACAUCCAAGUCUAUGCAAAAAAUAUUGUAUAGUUCUACGAUAAUUAUAAACACACACAUAAUUCAAAAAAAAACACACACAUAAAUAAUGGAAUCAAAACAACAUACCCGUUCCGAAGAUCCUCCCCGGCAAUAUUUGAUAUAUCUGUGAGAGCUUUAACCCAUCUUUGUUUCUGAUCUGCUGGUUUGUCCUCGCAUGUCUUUUUAAAGACCUUUCCAAAUUCACCGAUCUGUUUUCUAACAUGAGAAGGAUCAACGUCGUAGAAAACCGGUAUCACCUUUUGUCCAAAAUAUUUAGAGCAAUUGUCGAUUUCAACCAAUUCAUUCAAGCACCACGUGGAAGCAGCAUAGUUCUUAGAGAAGAUGACAAUUGAGAUCCUCGCUUCUCUAAUCGCCGAUAUAAGCGCAUCGGCGAUUAUGCAGCUUCUCUCGAUGACGUGAUCCAUGAAUGUAUUGAUUGAUCUGCGAUUGAGCUGCUUAAGAAGAUGGCUGAGGAAAUUCUUGCGAACAUCUUCCCCACUGAAGCUUGGAAAAAUGUCGCUGCCAGAAGAAGAAGCUGCCGCCAUGAAAGAUGAUGAGUUUGAGAUAGAAUAUCUUUAAAAGAAGUAAAUCAGCAAUACAUAAUGAUUAGUGUGCAGGAAGAGGAGAAAUCGUGCAUAGAAGACUUAUGCUGUGCGAAACGGAGUACCUUAUAUUCGCUGGGAAACGUGCUGUUAUGUACAAGAUUAGUAAUUUUUUAGUGGUUAAUAUCAAAUCUCCUAACAAGAGUAGGGUGACGACAGGCACAAUUAAGAUAAUAAAUAACUAGAUAACACAGAAACUUCGCCUUUCAUUCGUCGAAGAGUUGCAUAGAAGACUUAUUAUACAAGAUGUUUAUUUUACUGGUUAAAAUCAAAUCCCUUAACAAGAGAGUAUGGUGAGACACACCUAAUAUAUAAUAACAAUUUAACACAGAAACUUCGCCUUCCUUUUCUUGAAGAUUUGCAUAGAAGACUUUGUUCAAGAUAUAUUUUUUUAGAGGUUAAUUGAUAUCAAUUUUCCUAACAAAGUAUGAUGUAUUAAGACAUAAUAAUAACUUAAUAAGACAGAAACUUCGCCUUUCUUUCGUUGAAGACUCGCAUAGAAGACUUGCUAGUUGCUAUACAAGAUAUUUAUUUUACAGGUUAAAAUCAAAUCCCCUAACAAGAGACUAUAGUGAGAGACACAAUCAAGUUAUAACAAAUUAACACAGAAACUUCCUUCCUUUCCUUGCAGGCUUGCAUAGAAGACUUACUGUACAAGUUAUAUUUUUGUAGUGUAUGAUGACAGACACAAUAAUAAAUACAAAGAAACUUCGCCUGGCAUAGAAGACUUACUGUACUUCUAGUGGUUAAAAUAAAAUCGCCCUGAAAGAACUCAUAACUUUUUAGGCUACGUCAGCCGAGAAAAUUGCGACAGGAGAGGCGACUAGGGUUUUUUUCUUUUGCCGCACGCGAAGGGUUCCUAGCAGUCAGCCACCGAAUCUAUGUUCAGAAGGAGAAAGGGAAUUAUACAACGAUGUUCCAUCGCCAUGAAAUUUGCUUGAAGAAACUGAUAACAGUAGUAUCAUACUUAUAGAAGAAGACAUCUGGAAAGUUCCAAAUUUGGAGCCGUCAAGCUUGUGUUUGCUACUGUUUUACCACAGAGUAAGUUGGAAGGUUCUUCAUAUGUUCUUACCGUAAUCUGCAUAAUAAAAUCAAAUCUAUUAAAUUCCUUUGGUCUAUUUUGCAGGUGAUCCUGAAAAUGAAUCAAGAGUUAGAUAUGUAAUUUUCCGUUCAAUAAUUCAAAGCUUCACCCGCUUUAGCUUCUUGCUUCUCCCAUUGACUAUGUCACUUUCUCUAGAAUGUUGGUUGUUCUCAGUUUGAGCGCUCGUACCACUACCAUCCUCAGAUGGAGAGGCAUCUAAAUGCCGUACGCUGAAUUUUUUUAUCCUCUUAAACGACAAGUUUGCGUGUCGUGGUCAAGCCCAAAUUUGACACAAGAACAAGCAUUGCUAUGAUAUUCAAACUUGAAUUUCACAUCGUUGUAGUCCAAUUCAUAUGGAUAACCAAAGACUUCUUCUGAAGGGCAAAACUCAGAGCGGAACACAACCAUAAUGUACUAGGUAAGAUUUUUGAAUUAGAUUGUGCUACUUUGAAUUCCGAUGGUGUUUUUUGCAGCGUUCUAUUCUUCUAAUCAUUAUAUACUUUGUAAGAAAUAAGUAGUUUAUAAUCAAUUCUUUGCGAAAAAAUUAGUAUAGCAAGCAAAAUAAUUUACGUUACUAGAUUUCAAAUCCCAAUUUGAGCGGGAAGUCCAUCUAGUUUGAAGCUAAAAGGCUUUAUGACAAAUAUACUCUAACAAGCUUGCAGGCCAAGCAAAUCAUAUUAGAAGCAAAAGAAAGGUCGAGAAAAUAUCUUAGGAACAUCAUUAAUGAAUGAGUUUAAGGAGAAUGUUACCUGGAUUACUUCCCAUAACUUCUCAAGCUUGCUACCUGGCAUUGUAAGCUCUGCGACACAUUCUGCAUGACAUUUAGACGGUAAAUAUUUUAUUGGACAAUCAAUCCAAACGAGUUCAGUGAGACCAAAGAUAUUCCCAAUAAAGAAACAAUCUAUGUCUUCUCUGAUUGCAGUUUCGUUUAGAUGGAGCUCUGAAAUGUUCUUUGAAAUUCGAGGGAAACAUCUCAAACUUGAACAUCCCCUGAGAUCGAGGUGUACUCUAGAGAUUCCAAGUUAACGCCGGUUGGGAGAACUUUUAGAUUUUUGCAUCCUUGCAUUUCCAACCGCCUCAGUUUAUUGAGAUUCCGAAUUGAAGAAGGAAGCAUCACUAAACUUUUGCAAUCGUUAAGUUCCAAGUGGUCAAGAUUGAUGGCCGUUGAAAGAUCUGGAAAUUCUUUCAGGUUUUCACUUCCUGACAAAUCCUUCCUCACCAGACAGACUCCUUCCCACAACUUCUCAAGCUUGCUAUUCUCCAUUGUGAGUUUAAUCAAAAUUUCAGCCCUAAAAUUGAAACACAUACUCGUCAACGGAUAUUCAUCCCAAUAUAGCAAUCUGAGUUUUCGGGCCAAAUAAAUGAAUCCCUGAGGUAAACACAAUCUGCUUUCACCAGUCUCUAGCGAUCGACAACUCCUUGUAAAAUUUUAGAAAUGUGAGAUUACACAUUCCUUUGAAGAUUGUCCAUUUACAAACAAUCUAUUUCUGAGAUUACACUCAUCGAUUUCUGUUGUGUUGAAAGACAUGCCUAGCACAUUUUCAGUUCCUGAAAAAAAAACAUUAGUAUUUUACAACGGUCACAAUAAUCUAUUACGUUAUAGAUGACUCUCUUCGAUUCAUAUGGAGUAGUGUACUCAAACAUGAAAAUCAACUGACCCACCUUCCUUCUUAGUGGGUCCGCCACUGAUCAACAAGCAAGUUCUUGAUAUAAUCAACUUUUUGAUCAUUAAGUAAACACGCAAUGUAAAGGAAGACUUCUUCUUACUCCUUCAUUGUGCCUUCUCAGAACAGGUUUGGUUUCUGGUUCUUCACAGACUAGGAUUACCACAAUGUACUUUUGUUGAUUGGUCUACUGUCAUCACUUGGCUCCUGACCAAAUCCCCUUCCCUAUCAAAUGCUUUGAAACGCAUUUCUGCCCAAGCCACUAUCUACCUGCUCUGGCGAGAAAGGAACAAUCGCUUACACAAUGAUCUUUCCUCUUCGGUCUCUGUGAUCUUUGGUCAGAUUGAUAGGAAUAUAAAGGAUACUCUUCUUGCUCGUCAGUACAGGAAAGGUUGUGGGAGACUUCUAUCCCAAUGGUUUUCUUAUAGUUAACAUAUCUAUUCUAUUGAUCGAUGUUUCAAUCAUGGCUUUUUAAUUUUUUUUGGGCCUUUGAAACUGGCUGCCUUUUGGCAUUGUAAAUAACAUUUCCACUUUCCUUCUAAGGUAAUAUAUAUUCACAAGUUAUCAAAAAAAAAAAAAAAAGGGAAGACUUCUUUAUCUUUGUCAUCUAACUUAUCGUAGCUGACUCUUAAUGUUUUCUCAAAUUUUCCGUCUAGACCAUUUCGAACCCUAGGCAACAACUCCAUCCAUAGUCCUUGUCCUUUCCUCUUAAUGAAGAAACCAAAAGAUUGAGACAUAAAGGAAGAUUACCGAAAAGUUUUGCAACUUCACGAGUUAAAUUCACGAAACCAUCUGGUGGAGCGUUUUGCCCAAAAACACAUCGACAAAACAUUUGUAGAGCCAAAAUUAUAUUUCAGAUGGAAAAUUCAGUUCAUAAACAAGGUCAAUCUUAUGAGACUUGAAAAAGUUUUUUUUAUCUUUACUUAUCACAACAAUUCUGCUUCCAAUCCCAAACCAUCCAGUUUGUGCCACCAAGGUCUUUAAUAGCUCAAGAUCAUCAACAUCGUCAAUAAUUAUAAGAACUUUCUUGUGCUUUAACCUUUGUUCCACCGCACAUAAAUGCAAAACCUUUAUGUCCUUUUGACAUAAAAUUUCUGAUAAAACCUGUUCUUCUCGGUUGGUUUAUAAGUUACGAAAGCGCGAAGGGGGAAUUGGCUAGAGAGUUGACUGAAAAGAGCUCUUCCUAGGGUACUCUUACCAAUCCCUACCAUUCUAGCUUCUUCAGAUUCCAAGCACAACAAUGAACUCAAUCUCUCUAAAUGAGCUUCAACACCAACGAAAUCACCUAAAUCACUCGAUGGUGUUAUGAGCUUAUUCGGAACAUCGUUGGAAAUUGUUUCAAUCAUGUUUGCUUCAUUACACCUAAAAAUCAAUACUCAAAUGUCAGCAAUGAACACUACAAUCGGAGUCUUAAGCCUAAUCAAACAAAAAUUUGAAAAAAAAAAAUACCAGUUUCGAGAAUCCUCUCCAGCCAUAUUUGCCACAUCUGCUAGAGCUUUCCUACACCUUUGUUUCUCAUCAUCUGUUUUGUUCUUGCAUGUCUCUUCAAAGACCUUUCCAAAUUCUCCGGUCUGUUUCCUAACAUCAGAAUGAUCAACCUCGUAGAAAAUCGGAGUCACCAUUUGAUCCAAGUUUUUAAAGCACUUGUGGAUCUCAACCAAUUCAUUCAAGCACUAGGUGGAAGAAGCAUAUAUACUUGUUAGAGAAGACGACGAUUGAGAUCCUCGAUUCUCUUAUAGCCAAUAAAAGCUCUGGGCCGAUUGGGCGGCUUCUCUCGAUCUCAUGGUCGAUGUGUAUUGAUUGAUCUGCGAUCAAGCUUCUUAAGUAGAUGGAUGAUGAAUGAAUUACGGACAUCUUCAUCGCUGAAGCUCGGAAAAACGACGUAUCUCUUGCUGCGAGAAGAAGAAGAUACUCUAAACCUCGACAAUGACUAUACGACUGGGGAUGAGAUGGAUCUGGAUGAGGAGAAUGAAGAUGAAGAACAAGCAGGCCUAGAUUCACUUGCUAGUACAGCUAAUAACAAGGUGAAAGGUAGACGUAGACGUAAGCGUUUCAAAGUGCUUAAUAAUUAGAGAUAAUUUUAGUACCACAAGGAUAAUUUUAGUACCAUUGGAACUAAACUGGAAGAUCAUUAUGAGUGAUGUGCAAUGCAAAUACUGCAAUCAUACUUAUUGCUUAGACCUACGUAGAAGUGGUACAACUACUAUGUUGCGUCACAUGAGAGUUUGCUCAAAGACUCCUGGAAGUACACCUGCAACUGGAAUAAAAAGCUUGAUAUGAUGGUGUUUAGGGAGAUGAUUGGAUUAGAUUAGCAAUAAUUGAGCAUGAUUUGCCUUUUUCUUUUGUUGAGGACAAAAUAAUUAGAGAGACAUUUCUCUAUGCUAAUUCUAGCAUAUAAUUUUGGAGUAGGAACACCGCAACUUUUGAUUUCAAGUAUUGGACCGAGCUAAUGGACAUGGACAGUCCAUUUCGACAGCUCUAGCUUUGGAUGAGACUUGAUGGUUUGGAAUUGGAGUUGACUCCUUCACAAAGUUUUAAUAGUUCUUCCUUGCAUGACACGGAAAAGGCUAUCUCCUUUUUUCACCACCUGAAGGGUUGCUUCUUGUACUGGUCACAUGUUUGGCCGAGGUUAAGUCACACGCUAUUGAAUCAGCGAUCCAACACUUUUUUUUUUUUUUGUUGUUGUUGUUAAUUCUCUUGUGAAUUUGCAAUAUACAAUUUUGUUUACCCAAAUUCUAAUUUAUUCUUUGCUUUAAAACAAAAAAAAACUUUGCUCACAUACAUGUUAUCAUUAUCGUCGAGAUAUAUGUUUUUUUAAUAAAGACAAAGACUAUUUUGGGUAGUACCUGACCUGAGUCAAGUAUGUAAAACCCUAAGAUCACAAAUUCAAUGUCUUUUCGACUAAAACAGAUAAACAGUACGGUACAAUACAAAACAUCCCAAUGAUAUCUUUCCAGAAUAUAAUGUGCUAUGGCUUUUUGAAAGAUGUAUUUAUUCUUUUAGGAAAAGCAAAAUUCUCAAAGAAGCAAAGACAGAUAAGUAAGAACAGAGUGCUUCACUUUCAGCUAAAGAAGAAAUUACAAACAUUUUCAUCAGGCUCCGGAGUUGGAGACCUAAAUGGAUUCUAGACUUCUGGUUCUCCAAAAGCUCUCCGUUACCUGAAGAAAAGAUGGCUUGCGUUAAAGCUAUGUAAUCGUCUUGUCAUUAUCAGUAUAGUCAUGGUCAAUCCCAAGUUGAUCCUAAAACAGAACAAAACAGAACUGGAAGAUGUUUUGAUUACAUUAAAAAGUUGAUAAGCUCUGGGAACAACGAAGGAUCCGCGGUAGGUGUUUCUAUAUAUUGUUGUUCAGUUAUCAUUGGAUCAAUACACAAAACUUCUUCCUCUAGACAUGGUUGGGAAAGACACAACGAUGCUCCAUCAACAUGAACGUUGCUAGAAGAAACUGAUGAAAACCUGGGUGGAAGAACUCCCCUGCCAAUAACGAAAGCUCCAGAUUUGUAGCGGUCAAUUCUGUGUCCGCUUCUAUUUGGCCACUUGGUAAGUUGAUAUAUUCUUCAGAUGUUCCUAUUAUCAUCUGCAUUAUAAACCAAACUAUCUAUCCUACGAAACUGUUCAUCCUCCAAAAAAAUCAAGAGACAGCUAUGCAACUUUCAGAUCAAAACUGGCAAAAGGCUUACCCGCAUCCGCUUCUUGCUUCUCCCAGUCUCUACUACAACAUCAACUUUUUCUACAGACUAUUGGUUGUCCUCUUUUUCAGGAGAGACAUUCAAAAUUCGUACACCGCAUCCCUUUAUGCUCUCCUUGGGAAUAAACACAAAUUCCAAAUUGUUGUCUGAUUUAGAUGGAACGUCUAUAGGCGGGAACUUGAAGGAACCCAAAACCAUAUGAUCCGUAUUACACAACGUCAUCGUACCAUGAAAUACUGUCUCCCAAAUAUGUAGGAACUUCUCCACCUGGUAGGACCGUCUUGACGUAUGAUCGUAGGAUGAGUUCCUGCGCAUCUCCAUCCAAUUUGAAACAAUUAAGGAGAUAGAAAUAUUCUCUUCUCAUCAAGUCGGCCAUUUGAUGGCCGUGCUUGUUUAAAUUUACUGUCAAUGGUUUCUAGGAAAUGCGAAAGCGUUAAAGAAGCAACCACAAGGAUGUAAGAACAGAGUACUUCUGCCUUCAGCCUUCAGCUAAAGAAGAAAUUGCAAACAUUAUCAUGCUCUGGAGUUGGACUCUUUAACGGAUUCUGGUUUUUUUUAAGUAGUAACCCCUGCAGGAAAUUAUUGCUUUGAUAAGCCAAACUCCACUAAGAGCUUGAUGCGCUUGAUGAGCUUGAUGACCUGUCCAACAAGCAAGAAAAGAGUCAAUGUUGAGAGUUGAAAGUAUAUAUAGAGUCUCUAAUCUCUGAGAGGUUAUUCAAUUAGUGAAUUGGUGUGUUUGUUAAGACUCCUGCAUGAGUCUCUUGGGUUGAGGAUUCAGAGCCCGAAACUCUGCAAUUCUCUUCAUUGUGUGACAGAUUCUUUGAUAGAUCAAUAAAAGAUUGCUUGUUUAUUCUUGUCAAGCUUGUGUGAAAAACCUAUGAAAUCAUCUUUUCAUUAUCACUAUAGUCAUGGUCGAUCCCAAGUGAUCCUAUAACACAAAAAAAAAACAGAAUAGUAAGAUGUUUCAGUUACCAUAACUCCCACUCCCAAUCCACAUUAGCUAUAUGAAUUUGUGCAUCUUGUUGUUCAGUAAUCAUGGAAUCAACACACAAAGCUUCCCCCUCCAGCCAUGGAUUAAAAGAAACUGAUGAUGAUUCUCCCCACCCUAACGGAACAGUGUCUGUUACUAUUUGGCCACAGGGUAAGUUGAAAUAUUUUUCAGAGUUUCCUAAUGUCAUCUGUAUAAUAAACCAAAAGAUGGAUUCUUUUAGAUAGUUCAUCCCUGAAAAAAAACAAUCAAGAGAUAGCUUUAAUAGUUUUCAGUUCAAAAUAAUGGCAAAAGGCUUACCCGCAUCCGCUUCUUGCUACUUUCAGUCUCUACAUCAUCACAUUUUUCUCCAGACUGUUGGUGGUACUCUGUUACAGAGUCUCCAUCACUAUCAUCCGGAGAUUCUGUUUCAGAGCUUCCCUCACUAUCAUCCGGAGAUGUAGACACAUUCAAGAGUCGUAUGCCGCAUCUUUUUACUCUCGUCCCGUUAAACUUAAAUUCCACAUCAUUGACGUCUAAUUUAGAUAGAAGACCUGUAGGCUGGAACUUGAAGGAACACAAAACUAGAUGAUCCGUCUUACACAUCAUUUCCAUGCCCUCAUAUAUUGUAUGUCUAUAAUGUUCGCCAUUGAACUGAAAGAGUACGUCCAUGCAUGCAAAAGAAUGGGUUAUAGGUUCAACCACGAGACAAGCAUUAAAUCGCAAGAAUUUAUGAGAAAGAGAGCUCUGAGGCAAAGUGACAGUUAGGGAAUUUCCAUAAGCUUGAUGCUUAAAAUAUGUAGGCACUUCUCCACCUGGUAAGACCAUAGUCGUCUUGAAGCAUGAUCCUAGGAUAAGUUCUCGCGCAGCUCUAUCCAAUUUGAAGCAAUUCUGGAAUUUAAAAUAUAUUUCUCCAUACUCAUCCUCGUCAUCCUCAUCCUCGUCAUACUCAUACUCAUACUCAUCCUCGUCAUCCUCAUCCUUGUCACAUUUAGGUCUCUUUUCGACCUUAUUUAUCUUUUCAUUGUUUUGAUCUUCCAUUGUUGUCACCGGAUCACUCAACGCUGUGAUGACACCUCCACAGUCUGUAAAGUCGACCUUCAUAAGCCUUGUCAGUCUGAAAAUGUUCGGGGAUAUGUUUUUCAACAUUUUGCAACCACUCAUAUUUAGUACCUUGAGCCUCGAAAAUUUCUCAAUGAAGCAGGGAACUUGUUCAAUGGCGGUGUCAGCUAGAUUGAGUUCUUGAAUACUAGUUGAAAUCUGAGGAAAUCUUCUCAACGACUUGCAACCACGCAUCGAUAAUUCCAUGAGCCUCGAGAAAUUCUCAAAACAUGGAACUUCUUCAAUGGCAGUGUCAUCUAGAUUGAGUACUGCAAUACUUUUUGAAAUCUGAGGGAUAAAUCUCAAACUUGAGCACCCUUUGAGAUGGACUGUAUGGAGAGAUGACAAGUUGAUAUCCAUAGGAAGAACCUUCAGCCCUGUGCAUUCUUCCAUAUUUAACGUGUAUAAUUUUUGGAGAUUCCCAAUUGUAGAAGGUAACAUCACCAAACUUUUGCAAUUUGAGAGAUCCAAAAUCUCCAGAUUGGUGGCCUUUGAAAGGUCUGGAAUUUCUAUCAUGUUUUCACAUUCUGACAGAUCCACCCUCUUGAGUUUCCCAAGCGACUGAAACAGAGUAAAACAUUGUUAUGCUUUUCUUUUUUCUGAAUGUAAAACGUUGUUAUGCUUUAAUCAUUGUCAAUACUAUAUCUGUUUAGUGUUAUAAUCAAGAACAAGACAUAAUUUUGUAUAUAAUACACGUAUAAAUCGUACCUGGACGCCUUCCCAUAGCUUCUCAAGCAUGUUGUUGCCUCUCACUGUGAGGUUUUUGAGAUGUUCUGGGCGAAAUUUACUUGGAUUACAUCUCCUAAGGCAAUCGAGAUAAUCGAGUCCAGGGAGAUUCUUGUUCCAUAAACAAUCUGCUACCUCGAUCUCAAUUUCAUCUGUAAAGAUGAAACUUUGCAUUAUAAUCUCAGGGAAAUUUCUCAACCGGGGGCAUAGUAGGAGAUUGAGGAACUUAAGAGAUUCCGAGUUGAGAGGACUUGGAAAACUUUCUAGCACUUCGCAGUUACAAAGAUCUAAUUCCUCGAGGUUUGUGGCUAAAGAAAGAUCUGGAAUUUCUUUCAAAUUGUUGGAAUUCCUCAAAUUCAUCUUCUUGAGACUUCCAAGAGGCUGAAAACAACAUAUGGAAAAAGAGAAUAACACAGAUUUAUUUAGAUUGUUUAACAAAUAAAUUAAUAAAAAUAACACAGUUCUGUUUUCAAAUAGACAACUCGAAACAAUAAAGAAUUAGUACCUGAGUUCCAUUCCACAGCUUCUCAAGGGCACUAUUCUCCAUUCUGAGUUCAACCAGAUACUCAGCCUUAAAAUUAGAAGGCAAACGCUUCAAUGGACAAUUUUCCCACCGUAGCCAUUUGAGUUUACGUGGCAAGUAAACGAGGCCGUUAGGUAGACGCAAUCUGGUUUCUCUCGGUUGCCACCAGUAAUGAUCAUGAAUAUUUAGAAAUUGGAGAUUAAGCAUGCCUUGGAACGAGUUUUCAUCUAUUGAAAUAAAUGGCUUAUCGAUUUGUGAAUCUGAUGACGUGCUGAAAUCUAUUCCGAGCAAUUUUUCAGUGCCCUGACAAAAAAAAAAAACCCAAAGAAAACUGUUAUCCUCAAGUACCAAACUAAAUCAAUGUUUUUAACAUCAAAAGCCAAUCGUUGAAUUAAUAUAAAGUGGUGCAUUAAGCUGCAAAAACUUACGGUAUUAUCGGUAAAUACGUCUAGAAUUUCCUCAGCAUUCUCCAGAAAUCGACGUUUUCCAGGAUUACCAUUAGACUCUUCACGAUCAAUUUCUGUAGCCAACUUCUGAAGCAAAUUGUGCAUCUCUAUAGUAUCAUUCGGUGUUAAACGUAUGAGGGACUUAUCAUCCAACGUUUUGAGCCUAAUGUUAACAUUAACACCAUCUCCGAGGAAGUCUUUGAUGGAUUUGACUUUCCAACCAUUGAAUAACCAUGCAAUGUAAUGGAAUAUAUCUUGAUCUUUUGGAUCUAAUCUAACGUAGCUGACUCUUAAUGUUUUCAUAAUAUCUCUGUUCAAACCAUUUUGGAGCUCAGCCAGCAUCUCCAUCCACUCUUCUUUGCUCCUUCGUUUUAAAGACGAACCAAGGACACUGAGACCCAAAGGAAGAUUACCGGCAAGCUUUGCAACUUCAAAUGCUAGUUCCUUAAAAUCAUCAGGUGGAGAGUAUUUCCCAAAAGCAUAUUGGCAUAUCAUCUUAAGAGCAAGACCUUGAGAUGGGAGCUUCACCUCAUAUAUAAGGUCAAUCUCAUGAGCCUUGAGAAGUUGCCUAUCUUGAGUGAUCACAAUUAUUCUGCUUCCAGAUCCAAACCAUUCAGCUUUUCCCACCAAGGUCCUAAGAAACUCUAGAUUAUCCACAUCAUCAAGAAGGAUAAGAACUUUCUUGUGCUUCAACCUUUGCUCCACCACACCAAAAUGCUCUAUCUUUAUGUCCUUUUGACCUAAGAUUUCCGAGAGAAGUUCUUUUUCCCAACUCAACUUCAUGCCAGAGACGUCACUACCACUGGUGCUUUUAUAAGUUAUGAAAGCGCGAUGGUGGAACUGGCUAGAGAGUUGACUGAAAAGAGCUCUUCCUAUAGUACUCUUACCAAUCCCUGACUGUCCCCAAAUCCCGACCAUUAUUCUAGCUUCCUUGGAUUCCAAGCACAGUUUUAAUUUUAUUGCCUCUAUAUGAUCCUCAAUUCCGACUAAGUCACCAAAACCCUUUGGCAGAGGAAAAAGUUUAUUCGAAACAUCAUUAGCUAUCUUUACAACCAUGGCUGCUUCACUAGGCCUAAUAACAAUAGUCAAAAUUGUGUCAAUAAAGAGGCACCCCUAAAAGCACAAUCGAAGAUUCGAAGUGAACGCCAAGAAAAGAAAAAAAAAAGUACAGUUUUGCAAUAAUUAUAAACACUCAUAGAAAUAGUGGAAUAAAUAAAACAUACCCGUUCCGAAGAUCCUCCCCGGCUAAAUUUGAUAUAUCUGUGAGAGCUUUAACCCAUCUUUGUUUCUGAUCCUCUGGUUUGUCCUCGCAUGUCUUUUUAAAGACAUCGCCAAAGCCACCGAUCUGUUUUCUAACAUGAGAAGGAUCAACGCCGUAGAAAACCGGAAUCACCAUUUGAUCCAAGUCUUUGUCCUUGUGACACUUGUGGAUCUCCACCAAUUCAUUCAAGCACCACGUGGAAGAAGCAUAGUUCUCAGAGAAGAUAACUAUUGAGAUCCUCGCUUCUCUAAUGGCCGUUAUAAGCUCAUCGGCGAUUAUGCAGCUUCUCACGAUGCCGUGAUCCAUGAAUGUAUUGAUUGAUCUGCGGUCGAGCGCCUCGAUUAGAUGGCUGAGGAACGUUUUGCGAACAUCUACCCCACUGAAGCUUGGGAAAACGUCGUAUCUCCGGCUACUAGGAGAAGAAGAAGAAGAAGAAGAAGAUGAGCUCAGGGUCGUGGUGGAGGUCGGUGGUUGUGGCCAGUGGGUGGGAAGGGUGGAAGCUAGUUUGUAUGUAUGGGGCUGAGGUGGUGCUGAGUUAUGUUGUAAUCACUGUUUUUUACUCUGAGUGUAGGAAACGCCAUGGUAGCAGUGAUGCAAUUGUUGCUGAUGAGGUUGCUAUUUAAAACUUUUUUGUUGUUGAUAGUUCUCUUGUGAAAUUGUGAAAUACAUUUUUGUUUACCAAGAUUAUGAUUUAUUCAUUGCUUUAAAGAGAGGAAAAUAACAUUUCGUAGAGAGAGAUAUGUGUUUCAACAGACAAGACUGUUAUAUUCACAUCUUUCAGGAGAAGCGAAAUUUUCAAAGAAGCAAAACAGAGAAGUAAGAAUAGAGUACUUCUGUUCUGGACAUGGAACCAUAAAAGGUUUCUAGCUGUCAGUAAGUGUUCCAUCAUCUGCAGGAGAAAAUGGCUUGUGUGAAAAACUAAGAAAUCGUCUUGUCAUUACCAGUAUAGUCAUGGUCGAUCCCAUGUUCAUUAUGAAACAGAGUUGUAAUACGUUUCAGGUCACCUUAACAAUGUGAUAAGCUGUGGAGACGGCUAAGGAUCCAGGAAAGGAAUCUUAACAAUGUGAUGGUGUGAAUUCAGUCAAGGCAGAUCUUAACUGAUCAGGGUCAGCAGUGAAAGGUGUCGUCCCCAUCAGACCAAACGUCUAUCAUCUUAGGCCCUCGAUGCAAAGAUCUGAAGCAAACCAAUUCAGUCAAGAACAGCCCCAGAGAAUGAGCUUCCUAUCCUAGAUGUUCUAGUGAGUAGUUCAGGCCUACAACUUUCACUCUUUAUCAUAUAAUUAAAGAGUGCAGCGGGAUGGGGGAACAGCAGCGACAUGUUUUCUCAUCGACGUAGGAUAGCUGGAUGAUACUUCAUGGUUUGGAAGUGGACCAGACAAUGUCUCCUGCAGAAAGUUUAAAAGCUCUUUCCUUCAGCUGAUGGAUUGUUCCUUAUGCUGGUCACAUCUUUGGCCAAAGUUAGGCCAAAAACGCUUCUGCCUUUUGGCUAUUGAAUCAGCAAUGCAAAUGUUGUUGAUGACAAGGAUCUUGCUAUUUAAAAUUAGUUCCAACACACUCUUGUUGUCAAUUCUUUUGUGAAUUUGCGAUAUACAUUUUUGUUUACGCAAAGUCUGAUUUCUCUAUUCAUUGCUAAUAAAGAGAAAAACAACCUGUGCUAAUAUACACAUUGAGAUCUAUGUUUCAAAGAAAAGGCAGACAAAAUGUUCAAAGCAAACAGAGUGUUUCUGCAUUCAGAUAAAGAAGAAAUUACAAACACUUUCAGGCUCCGGAGUUGGAUGAUUAAACGGAAUUUGGUUCUCCAAAUAUCAUUCUGCAGAAUAAAAUGAUCUCCAUGUACCAUCUAUCAAUAAAAAAUGGCUUGUGUCAAAACCUAUGAAAUCGUCUUGUUAUCAUUAUAGAUAUAUAAUCAUGGUCGAUCCCAAGUUAUCCUAAAACAGACCAAAACAGAAUGAUAAGAUGCUUCAGUUACCAGAAACAGGAUCCAAGAAAGGAAUGUCUUCAUCUUGUUCUUUAGUUAUCAUAUAAUCAACAGACAAAGCUUCCCCCUCUAGAGAUGUUGAUGAUGAUGCUUCUCCCUCCCCUAACGAAAGCUCCAUAUUUAGAGCGGCCAAUCCUGUGUCUGCUACAAUUUGGUCACCGGCUAAGUUGAUAUAUUCUUCAGAUGUUCCCGAUGUCAUCUGCAUUAUAAAUCAAACGAUCGAUUCUAUUAAAUAGUCUGUCUCUAUGGUAUUUCGAUCCUGGAAAAUCAAAUCAAAAGUCAAAAUAUAGCUUUAUAAUUUUCAGCUCUAAUCAAAAGUCAAAAGAUACCCGCAUCCGCUUCUUGCUUCUCGUAGUCUGUUGGUUGUACUCUGUUUCUUGAGAGACAUACAUGAGUCGUACACCGCAUUCUUUGAUCCUAUUGGAGCAACAAAACUUAAACUCCACAUCGUUGAAAGUCAUUUCAGACUCGAACUUGAAGGAACAGAAAAACAGAUGAUCCGUCUUACAAAACUCCAGUUCUUCAUCUUCCAAAAAUGAUUUCUGAUACUGUUUGCCAUUGAAGCCAAAGUUUACCUCCAAAUAUCGAUAAAAACCCUUGCCCUCGGAGAGAGGGUCAACCACGAGACAAGCCUUAAAUCGCAAGAAGGAUUGAGAAAGAGAGCUCCGAGGUAAAGUGACAGUUAGGGAAUCUCCAUAAGCUCGAUACGUGAAAUACUUAGGGAUUUCUCCACCUGGUAAGGCCACAGGCUUGAAGCAUGAUCGUAGGAUGAGCUCUCGCGCAUCUCUAUCCAAUUUGAAGCAAUUACGGAAGCUAAAAUAUUCAGUACCUAAGUCCCAAUCACCAUCACCAUACAACUCACCCCAGAAACGUUCACAUGUAUAUUCAAUGUUUUCAGAUAAUGGUACACAAGAAACGCUAUCUUCCAUUGUCGCUACCACAGUUGCAUCACUCAACGCCUUGAUGACACCUCUACAGUCUGUAAAGUCGGCGAACAUUAGACUUCUCAGUCUGAAAAUGUUUGGGGAGAUGUUUUUCAACCUCUGGCAACAAUACAUCAGUAGUACACGGAGCCUCGUGAAAUCCUCAAUGCAGCAGGGAACUUCUCCAAUGGCGGUGUUUUCCAGAUAGAGCCAUACAAUAUUAGUUGAAAUCAGAGGAAAAGUUCUCAAACUUGAGCAACCACUGAGAUCGAGGAUACCCAGAGAUGACAAGUUGACAUCGGUUGGAAGAACCUCCAGCCCUGUGCAUCUUUUCAUGUACAAACGUCUCAAAUUUUGAAGAUUCCCAAUUGUAGAAGGAAGUGUCACCAAACUUUUGCAGUUGUUGAGUAUCAAAGACUCGAGCUUGGUGGCCUUUGAAAGAUCUAGAAUUUCUUCAAUGGCGGUGUUUUCCAGAUAGAGCCAUUUGAUACUCUUUGAAAUCAGAGGAAAAGUUCUCAAACUUGAGCAACCACUGAGAUCGAGGGUUUCGAGAGAUGACAAGUUGACAUCGGUUGGAAGAACCUCCAGCCCUGUGCAUUCUUUCAUUUCCAACCUCACCAAUUUUUGGAGAUUCCCAAUAGUAGAAGGAAGUGUCACCAAACUUUUGCAGUUGUUGAGAUAUAAAUGCUUCAGAUUGGUGGCCUUUGAAAGAUCUGGAAUUUCUGUCAGGUUUUCAGAUUCUGACAGAUCCAUCUCUUCGAGACUUCCAAGCGACUGAAAAAAACAUUAUCGAUGAUAAUCAUUUUAAUUUUAUACCUAUAUAUGUUUAAAAUUAUAAUUAAACAUUAUUACGUAUGUAUGUAAGACAUAACCGUGGAUCGACCACAAGCCAUAAAAACAAAUUUGGGUAUACUUAAUUAGUUAUAUAACAGAAGGUAAACAAAAAUCAGCAUAGCAUUAACAAUGUACCUGGAUGCCUUCCCAUAGCUUCUCAUGCUUGUAGCACCUCACAUUGAGAAAAACGAGAUAUUCUGGGCGAAAUUCACAAGGCAUACAUCUCAUAAGGCAGUCGAGAUAAUCUAGUCCAGCAGGGAGAUUCUUGUUCCAGAAACAAUCUUCUACCACGAUCUCAUUUCUCCCUUCCGGAAAGUCAACGUCUGAACAUCCCAUUUUGAUUGCUGGGAAAUUUCUCAAAUUCGGGCAUCCAGUGAGAUUGAGGUACUCGAGAGAUUCCAAGUUGAGAUCGGUUGGAAAACUCUCUAGCUUUUUGCAAUCACUAAUAUCUAAAUAGAUAAGUUUAAUGGCAUUCUGCAUCGAGGAAGGAAAUGUCACCAAGGAUUCGCAUUUACAAAUAUCUACUUCCUCGAGGUUUAUGGCUAAAGAAAGAUCUGGAAUCUCUUUCAAAUAUUUGGAACCACGCAGAAACAUCUGCUUGAGUCUUCCAAGUGGCUAAUAACAAAAUAGGGGAAAAGAGAGUACACACGUUAGUGAACAUUUUAAACAGAUUCAUUUUAGUUUUUCUAACAGAUUUAUGUUUAGAAAUUGAUCACUAAUAGAAUUAGUACCUGAGUUCCAUCCCACAGCUUCUCAAGGUCACUAUUCUCCAUUCUGAGUUUAACCAGAUACUCAACCUUAAAAUUAGAAUGCAAACGCUUCAAUGGACAAUUAUUCCACAAUAGCAAUCUGAGUUUACUAGGGAAAUAAACGAUGCCCUGAGUGCCUUCCACACGUGAGCAAUCAACUGAUAGAUAUUCGAGAUUACACAUGCCUUCUAAUGAUUUUAAAUCUAUUAAUAUCACCCCCGAACAAUGUAACUUCCUCAGUUUAAUGGCAUUCUGAAUCGAGGAAGGAAGUGUCACCAAAGAUUCGCAUCCUUCAAGAUCUAAUUCCUCGAGGUUUCUGGCAUUAGAAAGAUCUGGAAUUUCUUUCAAAUUUUUGGAACACAACAAAUUCAUCUUCUUGAGACUUCCAAGGGGCUGAAAACAAAAUAUGGAAAAAGAGAAUACACACGUUCACAAAUAUACCACAAUUUUCUGUUCUAAAAACUGACAACUAAUAAAAAUUUAGAAUUCGUACCAGAGUUCCUUCCCACAGUUUCUCAAGCUUACUAUACUUCAUUAUGAGGUUAACUAGAUAUUCCGCCUUAAAAGUAGAUGGCAAAGACUUCAAUGGACAAUCAUCCCAGUCUAGCAAUCUGAGUUUAAGGGGCAAAUAAACGAGGCUC
rnacentral:lncRNA from 1 species